AAUUUUUCACCUAUGGAAUGACCAGCUGUCUGCUGAGUCUGUCCUACCUACCACCUUCCAUGACAUUAGAGCCAGACAACUCUACAGGAAUCCAAAGGUACAGGACAGGCGGGGCAGAUGUUGGGGUCACUGGCAAACAGUUUACAAACUCACCCCAAGGCCUCAAGAUGUUCAACUCUGUAUAAUCCAUGGCUGGAUAAUCCAGGCAGAGCCCCUCCUCGGCUCUCUUUCCAUUGGCACUGUCACAUCCUCAUUCAGGCCAAAGCCAGUACACUACUAAAUCAAGUCACUUCUAAAUAAGAUUCAAAAUUCAUUUUUCCAGUCAUUUUUGCUGGAUGCGGGAUGUUCAAGUUUGUGAUAUAAAUCAUAUUAAGUACUUAUUAUCAGCAUACAAGAAUCGAUCCAACCCUGCCAAAGGCCUGUCUGGUGCUGGUACAGCCGCACACAUGUUAUUGCGUAUUAUUUUGCCUAAUUAAACCCUGGAGUGUUAACAGUAAU